rnacentral:tRNA from 1 species
GGGGGCGUCGUAUAACCUGGCUCAUUAUUGCCGGCUCCAGACCGGCAGAUCGGAGUUCAAAUCUCUGCGCCCCCA